AUGCACCCGAGGUCGCGCAUUCGCGGACGCGAGCCGCCGCCGCCGCCCCCGCCGUCAUCGGGAGGACGAUACCGCCGACGGUCCCCGCCCCUGCCGCCGCCCUCCCCGCGGCCGCAGCACCACCAGCGCCGGGCCCCGCCGCGGCGCAGCAGCCCCGAACGGCCGCCCCCGCGCCGCCUGCUGGCGUUGGACGAGAAGCCCCUCCCGCCGCCGGCGGCCGCGCUCGUCGUCGCCGCCGAACGGCGCUGGCGCAACGACGUGCUCCUCGAGGCCGGCCGCCUGGCCGCCCACUACCUGGUCGCGCAGGGCGUCCUCCCCGACCACGUUCUCCACGCCCGGGAAGACCCCAGCCCCAAGCACCACCACGUUCUCCACGCCAGGGACGACCCCAUCCCCAGCCCCCGCCCCGAGAUCUCCGCCCCCGCCGGCUACGCCAGGAAGAGGGAUGACGACGGAGACGACCCCAGAUGGCGGAGGAACGGAGGAGGCGGCGGCGGCGCCGACUGGGGCCGCGACAAGAGGGACGAGGACGACUGCGCCAGGCUAGCCCGGGCCAAGUCGGGCUGGGACCGGAGGACCCAGAGCUUUGACGGAAGACGCAGGUACAACGAGGGCGAUGGCGGACGCGGUGCUGGCGGUGAUGCCGACCGGGGCGUUCGCCGGAGCCACCCGUACGACGAGAAGAGGAGACCCGCCAUGUCACGCUCCUACUCUCAGAACGACCGCCGGGCCUCCAGCGACGACCGCCGGCCACCCCCCAUCGAUGACCGCCGGCCCUCUGUUGACCGCAGACUGGACCGGAAGCGGAGGAGCAGAAGCCGGAGUAGAAGCCGGAGCCGGAGCCGGAGCAGAACCAGGCCCAGGAGCUCUUACAGUGGCGGCCGGAGGGAUCCAGACUGGCGACCACGCGGUGGUGAUUUCGAUCAGCCACGCAGUGGCGAUCUGGAUCAGAGCAAGGUGCCAGCAGAGCCUGGAACUGUUGCCAGCCGCGACGGUGAUGUGGGCGGCGAUGAUGUCGAUAAACUGCCAAGGGAUCCAAAGAUUGUUCGCUCGGAGGUGGUGAUGGUGGAGGCGAAUGACGGUGCCAGCCAUGAAGAUGAAGCUGCGGUGGAACCAGAGCAUGAUGGUGCCAGGCAUGAGGAUGAAGAGGCAGAGUAUGAGUAUGAAGAGGUGGUGGAAUCAGAUGAUCAUGGUGAAGAUGAUGAUGGUGUCACCUAUGAAUAUGAAGAGAUGGAAACAGAGGACAAUGGUCAGGACGAUGAGGCUGCUGCUGUUGCUGGCUUGAAUGAUGCAGAUGCUGCUGAAAUAAAUGCCAGCCACCAACUGCCCAUGGUGGAUGUUCAUCCAUCAGAGCCUGCUGAGGAACCGGCGCACACGCAGCCCCAGCUCAGCGACGUCGAGGAGGCCACGGAGGCGGGCGUUGCGCGUGCGGAUGCAUGCCUGAUUGAACCAGUGGCUGACAGCAGUGGUUGUUCUGAAGUUAGAGGUGAAACGGAGGCUCCGCAAAGUCAACCUGAAACUGAACUUCACGUUAGAGAUGAAAUGGAGGCUCCGCAGAGCGAACUUGGAACUGAACUUCAAGUUAGAGGUGAAAUGGAGGCUCUGCAGAGUGAACAUGAAACUGAACUUCAAGUUGCAGGUGAAAUGGCGGCUCCGCAGAGUGAAGUUGAAACUGGACUUCAAGUUGCAGGUGAAAUGGCGGCUCCUCAAAGUGAGCCUGAAGCUGAACUUCAAGUUGCAGGUGAAAUGGAGGCUCCUCAAAGUGAACCUGAAACUGAACUUCUUCAAGAUAAACGUGCAGAUGAAAACCAACAGUUCGAGGAUGAUCAGGUGCUUCUAAAUCAGGGUAUUGGCAUGCAUGAUUUGGAUAGGAACUACCAGAACAGUGAGCAGAUGCUUAUAAAUCAGAUAGCCGAUGAGCAUGAACAGGGUGAUCAACAGCUGGAGGGCGAGCAAAUAAUUUUAAGCAAUGAGGGAGCAAUGCUAAAGCAAGAUGCGGAGGAGCAGGUGGAGAAUGAGCAGUUGCUACCUGAUCGUGCUACAGACGUUAAUCACCAGAUAAAGGAGGAGCAAAUGCUUCUAGAUCAUGUUACAGUUGUGCAUGACUUGGAUCAUUGUGAUCUGAACGGUGAACAGAUGCUACUAACAGAUGAUUCAGUUAAUAAAUCUGCAGUUGAUGGGGGCCAGUUGAAGGAUGGGCAAAUGGACCGGGCUGCAAAGAGACAAGCUACACUUCGCAGCCUGGACAAUGGCCAAAUGAUGAUUCCUAUAAUUAAUUUGGAUGACGACGACGAUGAUGAUGAUUAUGCAGAGCAGCCUGGUACCAGAGAAUUCUUAGAGCCCAAAAGUGAUGCCUUACACGUGGAUAAUUUUCUGCCAGAACGUAUGUGUUCUCAAGACGAGCAAGCCGCAAGCUUUCCUGACCAUCAGACUAACAUCCCAGCAUCUUCUUCAUCGGUUCCACCACAUUCCGGGAAUAGGUGGACUGGGAUGGGAGCUGUCAAUGCACAGGGAAUUCCCAGUGAUGAUGGCGUCCUAUAUGGUGGUGCGUUUGACAAGAUACCAUUAGAAGUGAUCAAUGUGUGGGACCUGCCAUCAACGGAGCUGGGGAAAUCCUGA
rnacentral:rRNA from 1 species